rnacentral:rRNA from 1 species
UUUAAUUGAAGAGUUUGAUCAUGGCUCAGAUUGAACGCUGGCGGCAGGCUUAACACAUGCAAGUCGAGCGGUAG